AAAUAUUUCAAUCUCACUUAAAACUGUGUUAGACGAAUCGGUCCAGAUGAUUAAUUUGAUAAAGAGUCGACCAUUACAGUCACGACUAUUUAAAAUUAUAUGUGAAGAUAUGGGUAGUCACCACUCUGCUUUGCUUUUGCAUUCAGAAGUCUGUUGGCUAUCACGAGGUAAAGUCCUUAUUAGAAUGUUUGAAUUGUGUCAAGAGUUGUUUGCAUAUUUCCAGGAUCACAAAUUUGGAUUUUAUGUCAAGACACGGAGGCGAGUAUUGCUUAUCCCUUUCUUUACUGUCCACCAAUAGCAGCAAAGAAUACAAACCGAAAGAAAAAAAUGGUAUCCAUAGUGAUAAGCCACUCCCAUACCAAGUCCCAGUAUAAGUCAACACCUCCCAACAUAUUUCCUCUUUCUUUGCUGCUCUACACAAGAUAAGUACA